CCAUGCAACACACGUAAAACAAAAAUCUGGAAAUGCAUUUUAGGGUUUAUCGUGUACAGUGUUCAUCAUCAUCUUCUUCACAAAUCGAAAAAAUAAAUUUGCCCAGAACAUGAAAUCACACAUAUCAUUCUAAUCAGCAGGCAACACACAUCAUGAAUCCAAGCAUCAUUUUCACUAAAUCGAACUACACAGCAAGCAUCAAACAAA
rnacentral:lncRNA from 1 species